rnacentral:rRNA from 1 species
GGUGAACGCUGGCGGCGUGCUUAAGACAUGCAAGUCGAACGGCAGUCUUCGGACUGUAGUGGCGCACGGGUGAGUAACGCGUAACUGACCUACCCCAAAGUCGCGGAUAACGGUUCGAAAGAAUCGCUAAUACGUGAUGUGCUGUCAGAUUGUGUUCUGCCAGUAAAGAUUGAUUGCUUUGGGAUGGGGUUGCGUUCCAUCAGCUAGUUGGUGGGGUAAAGGCCCACCAAGGCGACGACGGAUAGCCGGCCUGAGAGGGUGGCCGGCCACAGGGGCACUGAGACACGGGUCCCACUCCUACGGGAGGCAGCAGUUAGGAAUCUUCCACAAUGGGCGAAAGCCUGAUGGAGCGACGCCGCGUGAGGGAUGAAAGUCUUCGGAUCGUAAACCUCUGAAUCAGGGACGAAAGACACUUCGGUGGGAUGACGGUACCUGAGUAAUAGCACCGGCUAACUCCGUGCCAGCCGCCGCCGUAAUAC